UACAGAGGUCUCAAGCGUUUGUUCGGAUUCAUUGGGCGUAAAGGGCGCGUAGGCUGCGGGGCAAGUCGGGUGUGAAAUCUCAGAGCUCAACUCUGAAACUGCACUCGAUACUGCUUUGCUUGAGGACUGGAGAGGAGAUUGGAAUUCACGGUGUAGCAGUGAAAUGCGUAGAUAUCGUGAGGAAGACCAGUGGCGAAGGCGGAUCUCUGGACG
rnacentral:rRNA from 1 species